rnacentral:rRNA from 1 species
GAGGAGAGCAGCGUUAUCCGGAUUUAUUGGGCGUAAAGCGUCCGCAGGUGGCUUGUCAAGUCUGCUGUCAAAGCGCGAGGCUUAACUUCGUAACGGCAGUGGAAACUGACAGGCUUGAGAAUGAUAGGGGCAGAGGGAAUUCCCAGUGUACGGUGAAAUGCGUAAGAUUGGGAAAACACCGGUGGCGAAAGCGCUCUGCUGGGUCAUAUCUGACACUGAGGACGAAAGCUAGGGAGCGAAAGGGAUUAAUACCCCUGUAGUCCUAGCCGUAAACGAUGGACACUAGGCGUUGACCGUAUCGACCCGGUCAGUGCCGUAGCUAACGCGUUAAGUGUCCCGCCUGGGGAGUACGCGCGCAAGCGUGAAACUCAAAGGAAUUGACGGGGGCCCGCACAAGCGGUGGAGUAUGUGGUUUAAUUCGAUGCAACGCGAAGAACCUUACCAGGGCUUGACAUGUCGCGAAUCAGAGUGAAAGCUUUGAGUGCCUUCGGGAGCGCGAACACAGGUGGUGCAUGGCUGUCGCCAGCUCGUGUCGUGAGAUGUUGGGUUAAGUCCCGCAACGAGCGCAACCCUCGUUUUUAGUUGCCAUCAUUCAGUUGGGCACUCUAGAGAGACUGCCGGUGACAAACCGGAGGAAGGUGGGGAUGACGUCAAGUCAGCAUGCCCCUUACGUCCUGGGCUACACACGUACUACAAUGCUACGGACAAAGGGUUGCAAGCGCGCGAGUGCAAGCUAAUCCCAUAAACCGUGGCUCAGUUCAGAUUGCAGGCUGCAACUCGCCUGCAUGAAGGCGGAAUCGCUAGUAAUCGCAGGUCAGCAUACUGCGGUGAAUACGUUCCCGGGCCUUGUACA